rnacentral:rRNA from 1 species
AUGGACCUGUCCUCGCGUGCCGCGUGUCUCGCGGACGUCGUGGGUGACCUAGCCCCCAAUCCACCACAGCCCCAUCCCUCCCACCUCCUCCUCCCUUGUCCGCCGCCGCAUCCCACCCUCUCCUCCUCCCUCUUCUGCUUCCUACCUCCUCCCCGGAUAGUGACAAGUCUUGUUGAUUGGGAGACAUGGCAGGACGGCUGGCCUCUCGGGCUGGGCACUCUGAAACCGGGAGCCGGAGCGGUCAGGAGCGUCGACUCCUCCUCCUCCACCGCAGCCUUCACCCCGUCCCACUGCGUCUCGUCCGUCGCUUCGUUUGAUCUAGACACAGAGUCGGCAUGGUCUUUGCCGCACGCUGGUGGCGGCGGCGGCAUCACGCUGGCGGCCCUGAUCGGCCUGGUGGAUGCCAUGGAGAGCCGGGGCGAGAGGGCGAGCAGGAGCGGCAAGCUGCGGGCGCUGCUGCUCUCGCUAUGCCUCCGGAGCCACGAGAACGCCGGCGGCGCGGCGCCGUCGCUCGGCCAGUUCCUCGAGAUGGAACCGUGCCUGACGAGCCUGUAUCCACGAUGCAACCGACGGAGGAACAAGAUUUGCAUGUUGUUAUUCUAA